GGUUCGGUGGUCUAGUGGGUAAGAAACAUUUCGUUCCACAUGCGAGAGGUCCCGGGUUCAAUCCCCGGCCGAACCC
rnacentral:tRNA from 1 species